UACGAAGGGGGCUAGCGUUGCUCGGAAUCACUGGGCGUAAAGGGCGCGUAGGCGGCGUUUUAAGUCGGGGGUGAAAGCCUGUGGCUCAACCACAGAAUUGCCUUCGAUACUGUUUGGCUUGAGUUUGGUAGAGGUUGGUGGAACUGCGAGUGUAGAGGUGAAAUUCGUAGAUAUUCGCAAGAACACCAGUGGCGAAGGCGGCCAACUGGACCAACACUGACGCUGAGGCGCGAAAGCGUGGGGAGCAA
rnacentral:rRNA from 1 species